rnacentral:misc_RNA from 1 species
GAUGAAGAACGUAGCGAAAUGCGAUAAGUAGUGUGAAUUGCAGAAUUCCGUGAAUCAUCGAAUCUUUGAACGCACAUUGCGCCUUCUGGUAUUCCGGAAGGCAUGCCUGUUUGAGAGUCAUUAACAACCGUUUCGAUCCCUUUCUUUCAGAAAUUACAAAGAGGAAAAGGGUUUGGUUAUGGUGGAGGAGGGAAAGGGAGCGUUUAGCCUGUAAAAAAAGAGGCUGUGUUCCGCCUCCCCCCCAAAAUUGUACAGGCGGUCGUGUGCGCCCACGCAUCGAGGUGUUGUAAAAGCUGCCACGGCACUUUUCACCUGUGCAGUGCGAGAUUGGCCAGCCGGUUUAAAAACCCCUCCAAACAAUCAAAGGUUGACCUCGGAUCAGGUAGGGAUACCCGCUGAACUUAAGCAUAUCAAUAAGCGGAGGA